UUUCUUUACAUUUUUUUCCAUUCAGUUCCAUACUCUCAUCCUUUGCAAAUUGCACUACGUUAUUUACACUUUGUUGGGUGUUACCAAUUGGGCUACCAGAUGAAUGUUGAGUUAUGGUAAUGACUUCGGACAAUGUACUAUCAUCAACGAACAUAGCUAUAUCUUGAUCAUCAGAUGUUUCACAUAUCUGUUCCUGCUCAUUAGGUAUAGCGACUUGUGGGAGAUGGUUAAUUUUUAGGAUAAAUGCUAUUGGACCCAGCUUGCUACCCUGUGGGACUCCACCCCUGAUCUUUCGCAGGUCUGAUUGCUCACCUUGAAAUGAUGUAAAUUGCGAUCUGCCAUGUAGAUAGGACGCAAACCAACCCACUAAUUCGGGCCGUACACCGAUUCCAGUGAAGGGUUGAUUCCAGUGAUAGUACACACGUACAGUCGUGCAAGUUGUUACAGAUCUGAAAACAAAUAGUGGUACUGACAAGUUUGUUGCCAAGCCGAUAUCAGGAAUUGUUCGCACCGCUUGUUCCCAGUUGUUGUGACAAGUUUGGAACAAGUUGUUGUUACCUUGUUACAAUUAAGGUCGAUGACGGUAACAGACUUGCUAGAUGCAUGUAUAUAGUUAUAGUUAUAGUUAUAGUUAUAGUUAUAGAUGUAUUGCCAAUAUAUAGGUUGUUACGAGUUUGUUAUCAUCAACCUGUUAACAAUAUGUUACGUGCAGACGAUAUCACACUUGUUGGGACAACUUGUUGCAAGUCUAUUGGCCUCAUCAACCUUAGCUUGUUACAAGAUGAUAACAACUUGUUCCAGACAUUUGUAUUAUCGACUUUGAGCUGGUGAAAUUUUUGACGGUUUUUUACAUUUCUUGUUCACGCUUCUUGCACUAAAACACAAUAUUCUAAUAUAAAUUGUCUGUUUAUUUAUCAAAACAUUAAAUUCCCACAGUUCCGAGACAAAGUACAACCUGGCAUUGCGAAAUUCGAGAUCUCAGACCGACAUGCUGUUCUUUACGUGGAUAAAAUACCGAGUGAUCACGAACUAUGUUUCAACCUGGAAUUGAAACGAGAUUUUGAAGUCGGCAUUGUUCAGCCUGUACCCGUCACAGUGUAUGACUAUUAUGAACCAGGUGAGUAGGAAACACGUAUCUAACUCUAGAUAUUUAGGUAUAUUCGUCUUUUAGUAGCACUGGACCAAUCAGGAAUGACUCGUACAGGACCUUUAGAACUAAUAGAGCUAUCCAGUAAAAAUAAAGGUAGUUUAGUUUAAAUUUCUUCCUGCAG